AGGAACAGUAAGAGAUGAAACCAUUAAAAAUGGAAGGCAAAAUCUGCCAACACUUCUUUAUCCUCUUAAUGCACUUGCUUAAGAACCUAAUAUGUGUCAGGCACCAGGCUAACUGAUGGGUUAGACAAAUAUACCAGACUUAUAUCCAUUUUUCAGUGCCUAAAACAUAGCAGGUACACAAUAUGAAUGAAUAAACUAAUUUUAACUCUUUCCUUAAUUUGUGUAUAUCUACACACGGUAGUACUACUGCUGCCUUUAAUACCUUGAACAUAAUACUAUGGAAGGGGAACAAUAAUUUAAGAAUGCCUGAAGAGUGAGCAGGCGGCAGGGGCUGCGGAUGGCGGGGGCUGUGGAUGGUCGGGGCCCCAGGCCAGGGCGGCGGUGCCAUCUUGUGCCCAGGGCCGGUGGGGAGGCUGGGGAGGGGACCCCGGGGGGCGCAAGGGACUACGGGAAUGGCCUGGAGUCUGAGGAACUGGAGCCUGAGGAGCUGCUGCUGGACCCCAAGCCAGAGCCCAAGCCCGAAGAGGAGCUGCCCCAGCCCGACACCCCCACUCCCGCGGGAGCUCCGGGCCCUGGGCCUGGUUCGGGAGCCCCUGGCAGCCAAGAGGAGGAGGAGGAGGAGGAGCCGGGACUGGUCGAGGGUGACCCGGGGUACGGCGCCAUUGAGGACCGGGAACUGGAAACUAUCAAAACUCGAAUCAGGGAGAUGGAAGAAGAAGCUGAGAAGUUAAAGGAGCUACAGAACAGAGGUAGAGAAGCAGAUGAAUACGAGUCCACCUCUAGGCAAUGCUGGCCCAGUGAUCAUGUCAUUGAAGAGAAGAUGGAGGCUGAUGCCCGUUCCAUCUAUGUUGGCAAUGUGGACUAUGGUGCAACAGCAGAAGAGCUGGAAGCUCACUUUCAUGGCUGUGAUUCAGUCAACCGUGUCACCAUACUCUGUGACAAAUUUAGUGGCCAUCCCAAAGGGUUUGCGUAUACAGAGUUCUCAGACAAAGAAUCAGUGAGGACUUCCUUGGUCUCAGAUGAGUCCCUAUUUAGAGGAAGGCAAAUCAAGGUGAUCCCAAAACGAACCAACAGACCAGGAAUCAGCACAACAGACCGGGGUUUCCCAUGAGCCCGCUACCGCGCCCAGACCACCAACUAUAACAGUUACCUCUCUCGAUUCUACAGUGGUUUUAACAGCAGGCCCCAGGGUCGCGUCUACAGGGGCCGGGCUAGAGCAACAUCAUGGUAUUCCCUUUACUAAAAAAGUAUUAGGAGAAGAGAGAAGAAAAAAAGAGGAAAGGAGGGGAAAAAAAAGAACAACAAAAAAAAAAACCAGA